rnacentral:rRNA from 1 species
UAACUGUAAACGAUGCGGACUUGGUGUUGGGGUGGCUUUGAGCUGCUUCAGUGCCGAAGGGAAGCUGUUAAAGUCCGCCGCCUGGGAAGUACGGUCGCAAGACUGAAACUUAAAGGAAUUGGCGGGGGGAGCACCACAACACGUGGAGCCUGCGGUUUAAUUGGAUUCAACGCCGGACAUCUCACCAGAGGCGACAGCUGUAUGAUAGCCAGGUUGAUGACCUUGCUUGACAAGACUGAGAGGNGGUGCGAUGC